UCAGUUCAUCUUAUGCAGUAAAUGCUUACAAUUAAAAUGUCUAAUGCUAGCUUUUGGUCAGAAAAUGAUAAGCAUUACAUGCUUCUGUUCCUUGAGUGAGUAUAGUUAAAGAAUAGAAUAAACCUAGGCGUGGAAUUCCAGUGCUCCUACAUGCUCCCACUUGCAUUUUUGUCUCUCACAGGUGUUCCUUUCAAAUAGGAUAUUUUACUAUACCAUGUAAUAAAGGGGCAUGUUGACAAAGAAAUAACAACUGAGGACAAAAGCUAAACUAGACUCCUUCUUUUUGAUUCCAAUACAAAUUAUUUGUAGAAUUUACAUUUUCAUUUACCCGAGGACUUGAAAGGUGGCAUAUGUGUAAAAUCAUCAAUGUCCACUGCUUACCAGCCAGAGUAGAUACAUUCUCAGAAAAAUCAGUGGUGUUGUCUACAAUAGCCUGCUUUCCACUUAUGGGUUUCUCUGUAUAACACUAUAAAUCCAUUUGCUCAUCCAGAGAAUCUGGUUUAGUUAUUGACUAUAUAAUUUUCAAGAUCACAGCAACUACAGAUGGGACUGAAAACAGAAAAGGAAUGGAAUUCAGGGAGUUCAUCCAUUGAGGAAGUACAAUCUUAAUUGAGUUUUUUCCUGAUGUGGAAAAAUUCAAGGGCAAACUUAUAAGAUGGAAGCACACUCUAUAAGCUCCCUUGUAUUGAUAUGCAGAUGUCAAAUGUGAAAUCUCUUCCAAAGAUUUCUCUUCGUUCAGGUGUGAUUAAAACACUGGUUAAGAUGCCCACAUCCCAGAUCACAGUACCUGGGUCUAAAGCUUGUCCCCUGCUCCUUACUCCAGCUUCUUGUUUGUGCAGACUCUGGUACACAAUGGUAAUAGCUAAAGUGAUUGGGUUGUUGUUACCGGUUGCAGAGGGGAAGGGGGUUGCUGGAGCAAGUUCUGUGGGUUCUUUUUCUCAGCUCAGUAUAUAAAUAAAAAUCUGGGAAACAAAAUGCAAAGAAGCAGAAAUGUUUAUUUGAUUGGCAAGCAACAGAAAAGCAUCUGGUCCAAGAGGAGACCAGAUGGAGUGCUCGAAUGGAACAGUGGUUUUCAGGAGGUGCCUAGGGUUUUUUUAAGGCAUUACCAUCAUUUCAUUGGGUCAUUCUAUGAGGGUGUCCAUUGGAUAGGGGGUUUCUGGCUUGAGGCUCAUGGAGACAGCAGGAAUCUUUUUGAGAUAGCCCAUUUCUCUUUGGGGGCUCAUCCCCUUCUUCUGCUAGCCCUGGAUAGAAGAUUGCAACUAACUUUAAGAUGUGAUUUAAAACUGCAAGGAAACAUAUGCGGCACAAGAAGCUAGAGUGGGAAAGAUGCUGGCACAUCUGGAAACAAGCUUUUCAGCCAUAGCUGGCAGCAUGCUUGUGACAGACAUUCUGCCUAUGUCUGAGGGGGCCACACCCCACUGGAUGGCAUCAGGUUUGUGCCACCCUGGUGUGACACCAGGAUUGGGAUGCUGGCUCCUGGCUUCACCAUCAGCCCAACCCUGGCUGUUGCGGACAUUUGGGAAGUGAACCAGCAGAGCUCCCUUGUCAGUCUUUCAGUCUGUUUUUCUGCCUUUCAAUAUCAAUAUUGAGAGUAAAUAAAUAUGAAUUUUAGAAGAGAUUUCUCUUCUUUUUUGGUUCAUAGUUUGGCCAUAGCAUUUAAAAAUUGCAGUAGAACAUAAAGAAAUUGUGGAUUUGUUAUAUUUUAUUUUUUUAAGAUUUAUUUAUUUGAAAGUCAUAGUUACACAUAGAGAGAAAGAGACAGAGAGAGAGGUCUUCCAUCCACUGGUUCACUCCCCAACUGGCCGCAAGGGCUGGAGCUGCACCCAUCCAAAGGCAGAAGCCAGAGCUUCUUCUGGUUCUCCCAUGCAGGUGCAGGGGCCCAAGGACUUGGGGCAUCUUCUACUGCUUUCCCAGGCCAUAGCAGAAAGCUGGAUCAGAAGUGGUGCAGCCAGGACUAGAACUGACGCCCAUAUGGGAUGCCAGCACUGCAGGUGGCAGUUUUACCUGCUAUAACACAGCACCACCCCUGAUUUGUCAUAUUUUAGAUAUAGAUGUAUGAUAUUUUAAAUUGCAGUAAUCAAGUGUUAGGAAUUAUUAUAUAAGGAUCAUAUUAUACUUUGGGAAACUGGGGCAGGCAUUUCAAAGAAAUUCUAAGAAUCAGUGAGCAGCCAUGCCAUGCACCUAUACUUUGAAUGUCCCUUGUCCUCAACAAUGGUAGUCAUACUACCUGUUUUUGAUGCUAUCAUUAAGUUGCAAAUAUACUCAACUAUGUGCAUUUUAACUAACAUUUUGUCAGCUAGGAAAAUUUCUCAUAUGAGAAAGGUUAUGGUUAGUUUAGACAAUUACGCUUUAUCAGAUUUUCACUGGCCAAAAGUAGUCUUUCUCUGUAUCUUUUAAAUGAUAGAGAUUCCUAUAUAAUUGUCCAUUCCCCAGCCUAUUAGAUGAGUUUGUUUCCUGCUGCCAUUGCUAUGAUCUUAAAAAAAUUCUUUAAUUUUUAGGUAGCUUUUCUAAAUCAAGUUUCAUAAUAAAACACUGAGGUUUGAUAGGACUUGCAUAUAAUUCACAGACUAAUUUAGGCAAAAUGUGUAUCUCCCUACUACUGGAAUUCUCCACUGAUGAAUAUAGCAUAUUUCCACUUGCACAUAGCUUGUCGUGAAUCUUGAGUCACAGUUUUAUAAUUUUCUAAAUGCACAUAUGUAUUCCAGGCACUUAUAACCCACAUUGCUAUAUUACACCAGAUAUUAAAAAUACUUUGCUACUAUGUGUUUCUAUUGUGUAACAGUAUUGAAUUUUGAAUUGUAUGUUUUUUCUAAAUUCUUGUUGAGAGGGGAAAAAGAGAGAGAGAGAGAUGGAGAGAGAGAGAGACAAUCUCCCAUUUGCUGGUUCACUUCCCCAAAUGCCCAUAAUAUCCAGGGCUGGGCCAGGCUGAAGUCAGAAGGCUGGAACUCAAUCCGGAUCUCCCAUAUGAUUAACAGGAACUCAAGUAUUUGAACCACCACUUACUGACACACAGGAUGCACAUUUUCAGGAAGCUGAAAUCAGGAGCAGAGCCAGAAUUCUAGCCCAGGCACACUGAUAUGGGAUGGAAAUGCCACAACAGCCUCUAAAUUUCUGUGCCAAAUAUCUACACUGGUUUAUUUAGUGGUUUGAUCAAUGGAUAAAGGAAAAUUUACUUCCUUUUCUUAUUUUUUAUUUUUUUAUUUUAUUUUUUUUGACAGGCAGAGUUAGACAGAGAGAGAGGGAGAGAGAGAGACAGAGAGAAAGGUCUUCCUUCCGUUGGCUCACCCCCCAAAUGGCGGCUAAGGCCGGCACGCUGCGCCGAUCCAAAACCAGGAGCUGGAUGCUUCCUUCUGGUCUCCCAUGCAGGUGCAGGGCCCAAGCACAUGGGCUAUCCUCCACUGCCUUCCCAGGCCACAACAGAGAGCUGGCCUGGAAGAGGAGCAACCGGGACAGAAUCCGGCGCCCCAACCGGAGUAGAACCUAGGGCGCCAGCACCGCAGGCGGAGGAUUAGCCAAGUGAGCUGUGGCGCCGGCCUCGUUUUCUUUCAACCCAUAAAUAUCUCCUUUGUUUAUUCUAGACCAUGUUACUAACCAUGGGUUUCAUUGAACUAUUAAAUAGAAAUAUCAGGAAAUGUUAUUUCUUGUCUUUUUAAUAAGUUAAAGUAACUGUGUUUCUCAUUGUUAAGUAGGAUGCUUGAGCAGAUUUUGGGUAGGAACCAUUACCUACUUAAGGCAAUUUGAUUUUAGUAGUUAAUCCCUUUUUGCAUAAUAGAGCAUUUGAGUUUAAUGCUAACAUCUUCUGUGGGUUUUCUGUUACUUUAAUUUGUUAACAAAAUUACUCAGAAAUUCAGAUUUUCCAUUUUGAAAGUUGCCUAUUAAAUGCUAUCUCAGUUACACUUGGUCAUGGUGAUUUUCCUGUUGGUGAUGGUGAUUGCAUGGUCAGGUAAAAUGCCUUUAUAUUUGUGUAUUUAUGAUGAUCUUUCAUUAAUUCAUAGAUCAUGUUCUUGUGCUAAUUAUCUGGAUUGUGUUGUGACUGACAAAAUAUGUUCUGACUCCAUAGUCAUGUGGAAAAUGCUGUCCUUGAUUUUCUAUGGGUCUGCCAUUCAUUUUGCCCAGGGAUGGCAAAUAUUUUCUGUAAGGGUCCAUGAGUAAAUAUUUUAGGCUGUGAAGGCUGUGCAGUCUCAUUCCUGUCUUAAGUGUGCAAGUCACUAAGGCAAUUAUAAAACACUUCUUGAGGAAUGAGAACAAAUAACAAAAUAUCAAAAUUAGGAGAUACAGUAAAAUUAGUAAAGUAGUGCCCAAAAGCCAAGUAUGGCACUCAAAUAAUUAAUCUAAUUUUACAGUAUAAUGAGUGAGAUAAAGGAAAUUAAAUCAAAGAAAAGCAAGGGAAAUGAAAAAAUAAAACUAAUGUACAAAUAAACAAAACAGAAAGUAGAAAACUAAUAGAUUCAACAAACCCUAAAUUGAUUCUUUAAAAAAAUUAAAAUAAAGAAAAAGAAAAAAGGAGGAGAAAGGUUUGGAGCAUGGGAUGGAGGGUAGGGUGGGAAGUAUCAUUGUGCUUGUAAUCUGUAUGUAAUACUUGAAAUUUGUUCAUUUUAGAAAAAUAAAAAAUACUAAAAAAUAAAAAGAACAGUUACUAAAAAUCAACAAAGUUUAUAAGCCCUUAGCAAGACCAAUUAAGAAAAAUUGGAGAAGACACAAUAAGUACAAAAAGAAAUGACAGCAGGAGGGCUAGCCUUGAAGUGCAACAGGUUAAGCAGUCACUGGCAAAAAGGGCAUCUCACAUUGGAGUACUGGUUCAGUCUGAUGCUCAGAUGCUCUGCUUCUAAUUCAGCUUCCUGCUAAUGCACCUGAAAAGCAGUAGAAGUUGACCUGAUGAUUUGGGUCCAAGCCCUAGCCAGUGCAGCCAUUUGGGAAGUUGAUAGAAGAUUCUCUCUCUCUCUCUCUUUCUCUCCCUUUCAAAUAAAUAAAUAAAUAAAUAAAUAAGCAUUUUAAAAAGAAAGGAAAGCAGGGACAUUAUGAUUGAUCUUACUGAAACUGAAAAGAUUAUAAGACUAUUAUGACAAAUAGUAUUAAAAAUUAGAUCAUCCAUACAAAAUAGAAAAAUUCCUAGAAAGAUACAAACUAUGAAUUCGUAAAGAAAUAGAAAAUGUAAACAGGCCUAUAAACAGUAAAGCAAUAGAACAAGAAAGCAAACAAUUCCUAACAAGAAAAUUCUUUGGUCAAGUAGCUUUCCUAUCUGGUGAAUUCUACCAAACAUUCAAGAAUCCAUGCAAAUCCUACUUAAAUUCUUCCAUUAGAAGAAUGGGGGAAGGCACUUUCUAACCUAUUCAAUGAGGCUAGCAUUACCCUGACAGCAAACAAAGAUUCCUCAAGAAAAUAAAAAUAUAAUCAAUAUCCAUGAUCAAUAUAGACACAAGGGCUCUCAACAAAGUAAUCUUUCAACUUCCUGCUAUUGCACAUCCUAGGAGGCAACAUGCAAUGUCUAAGUAUUUAGAUUCCCACCACUCAUGUAGGAGACCUGGAUUGAGUUCUUGGUUCCUGACUUUUGAGGAAUGAACCAGGGGACAGAAACCUCUCUCUCUCUCUCUUUCUUUUUCUUUCUCUUUCUUUCCCUAUCCCUAUCCCUAUGCUUAUCCCUAUCCCUAUCCUUAUGCUUAUCCCUAUCCCUAUCUCUAACCCUAGCCCUAGCCCUAUCCCUAGCCCUAACCCUAGCCCUAGCCCUAGCCCUAGCCCUAGCCCUAGCCCUAACCCUAGCCCUAGCCCUAGUCCUAGCCCUAGCUCUAUCCCUAUCCCUAUCCCUAUCCCUACCCCAUCCCUAUCCCUAUCCUUAUCUCUACCUCUACCUCUACAUCUAUCUCCUUUUACUUUUCAAGUGAAUUAAGUAAUGAAAAUUUUAAAAAUAAAAAUUGGAAAAUGAAUAAUUGGCAAUUAUCUCUACAAAAGUUACUUCCUGUAAUUGCUCAGGCUAUGUGACAUCACAUUCAUUCCUACCUUAACUCAUCUUCAAACAGAGCCUAAUACAAUUUGAGUGAUAUUCCAACAAUAUUUAUAACUACAAUUUGCUUUUAUAAUGUAUUCACAACAUAUUGUCAGCUUUUCAGUGCCAGAGCUGAGCAAAAUCAUUAGAAAUAUUCUAAGUAUUUUUAGCUAAUAUUAAAUUUUAUUGAUCUUGAUAAAAAAUAGUAUCAUUACUCAUUGAGUCUAUGUUAUUCAUUUUAUGAAAACUGACACCUAGCUUGCCCUCAGUGUUUAUAAAUCUUCAUUAGCCUCAAAUUCAAAAAGUAUUAAGCUCUUUUGUACAAAAGAUCAAUAUCUAUUUCUUAUAAACCAAAGAGCUGAAUGAGUAAAAUAAUUUUGUAUCAUUUCAAUUGCUUUCUCUAUUAUAAUAUACUAGAAAGAUGGGCCUUGUAUAUUUGCAUAUAAAUGAACUACAGAGUUUCAGACAACUCUGAGUCUGUUACAAAAGCAGAAGUGAAAGGAAAGCAGGUAAAUUCUAGCAAAUUUACCUUCACAGACCUCAGACCUUAUCACUCCUAUGAUAAACAACGUAGUCGUCUUCAAACCUGUGAAACAAGCACGCAACAACUGGCUUAUCAACAGUAGGAUGUCCGAAAAAUAGAGACACUGGUGAAAUUUGUCAAUACAAACUUAACUUUUUUUUACUCUAAAGGAAAAGAUUUGUGUUGGCUAUUAAAAUACAGUGGUGGCUUCAAAUCUUAGUCUUAAAUUACUGCUUGUAUCUGGUUGUAAAAGCACAUUUUUUUUCAUAAAAGAUUUAUUCAUUUGUUUGAAAGUCAGAGUUAGAGACAGGGAGAGAGAGAGAGAGAUCUUCCCUCUGCUGGUUUAUCCCCAAAUGGCCCAAACAGCCUGGCCUGGGCCAAGCCAAAUACAGAAGUCUGGAACUCCAUCCUUGUCUUCUAUAUGGGAGUAGGGGCACAGGCUUCAGGCCCAUCUUCUGCUGCCUUACCAGAGACCUUAGUAGGGAGCCAGACAGGAAGUGGACUCAAACCAAGGCUCAUAAGGGUUGCCAGCCUUGCAAGCAGGAACUUAACCCACUGUGCCACAAUGCCGUCUCUGGUGAGAGCAGAUUAUUUGCAUAAAAGGGAACAUGAAGAUGGAAGAAAAAAUAAUUCAGCAGUACGUUAUUAAUUUAAUUUUUAAACUUUUAUUUAAUAAAUAUAAAUUUUGAAAGUACAACUCUUAGAUUACAGCUGUUUUUCUCCCUAUAACCAUCCUCCCACCCGCAACCAUCCCAUCUCCCACUCCCUUUCCCAUACCAUUCUUCAUUAAGAUUCAUUUUUAAUUAUCUUUAUAUACAGAAGAUCAACUUAGUAUAUACUAAGUAGAGAUUUCAACAAGUUGCACCCACACAGAAACAUAAAGUAUAAAGUACAGUUUGAAUACUAGUUUUACCAUUAAUUCGCAUAGUACAACACAUUAAGGACAGAGAUCCUCCCUGGGGAGUAAGUGCACAGUGACUCUCCUUGUUGAUUUAACAAUUGACACUUUUAUUUAUGACGUCACUAUUCACCCGAGGCUCUUGUCAUGAGCUGCCAAGGCUAUGGAAGCCUCUUGAGUUUACAAACUCUGAGCUUAAAUAAUUUUAAUGCUAAGUCUUUCAGCAGGUAAUAAUUGGUAUCUAAACCAUUGGAGUAUAAUAGAGACCUAGAUGAUUCACUUUCUAAGAAGAUAAACAGAAUAAGAAGUCAUGGAGAUAUUUAAAUGACUACUAUGUAUUUGUAUAUUUGCUAACUAUAAUGGGAAACUAAAAGUUUCCAAUGUCUUUCUUGGCCUAAAAUAAUUGAAAUUGUUUUGGUUAAAUAACUUCAGGGCUUACUAGAUAAUAUGACUUAAUUCUAUAUUUCUGGAUUGAAUUUUCAUGUGUCUAAUAUCAAUACAUACAGGUAACAGAGGAUAGAGAAUUUGGCUGUGGAUAAAAGAAUAACCAUUGUAUGUUGCUUGAUUACUUUCAGUCUGAAUUGCAUUACAAGGAGGGUAGAGUAGGGGGAGGCAUGGAGGCUACACUGAGAUCUACAGGAGAAAGUGAAACAUACUCCAUCAAUAUAUAUAUAUAGGAACUUAUAAAGACAUAGUCAAGCAGUAGUUAUUACUUAAGGAAAUUUGAACUAGAUAUUAUGUCACAGAAAUUGUCACAGAAUUGAAAAUUUGGGACUUGAUUGGUAAAGAACAUCUCUUUUGUAUUUAAAUUUUAUUAUGCCACCAAAAAGCAUGCUAAUGGCAUAAAGUUGUGAAAAUUAGAAAUACAAGUAGUAAUUUAAAAAAGCACUCAGUCACAUCAUAAAUAGCCAAUAUGUAUGUUAACAGGUAUGUUUUCCUAAUGGUCUUUUCACUUAUUUACAAAAUCAGAAUCACAUGUCUGUGGAGAGAGACGUGAAUGAUCAUGGGCAUUUUCACACGUAACUAAAUAUUUUUGAAAUCAUCAGUUUUCAUUUGAAAGUUUCAUUCAGUUGCCUGAUUUUAACACAAGUUUCCUGUCCUUCAUCUCCUGCUCUCUCUCCAUCUGCCUCUCUGCCGUCCUCAAUCCCUCCCUCUCCUUCCUGCUCCCAUUUCCCUUCCUUUUUCCAUGUUUUCUCUGCCUGCCUUCCUUCCAUCUUGCCUUCCUUCCAAUCCUCCUACCAUUCCUUUUAAUAUGAAAAAGAUUAUUCUCCAAUAUAUUUUUUGCAGUUAUUUGGAAAAUCUUUGGAGAAUAAUUACUGGGCACAACAUGUGCACUAGAGAAAAGCUUAAGAAAACGAGGAGAACACAUGUAUGAUGAAUCUGAGUGCAGAUCUCGCUCGAAUUUGGAGGAUGAACUUAGGUCUGGAAAUCAACAAACUGGGGAGAAAUUCCUUCUUGGUUUUACUUCUUUAUUCUCAUAUCUGGAUUUUCUCUUGCAUAUUUUUUUCUUCCUCACUUAGUGCCAGGCUUUUAGUAUUUUAAGUUGAGUCUAGGUAUGGCUACAUAAAGAAAAUCAUUAUGAUGGACCAAACAAAAAUUAAAUGAAAUAAUAAUUUAAAACCUCCACUAAGCCCAUAGAACCCAGGCUAAAAAUGUGCCAGAGCAGUACUUAUGGACUGUGCAGUAUUCUUUAGUUUCCAGCACGUAGACAGAUUAUAGAAAUGAAACACUUUAUAUGUUUUCUUGUUUUUUGAUUCUAUUUUUAUAAUGGCAACUUGUCUUAUGAUCCUUCUUUAGAACACUUAAAAUGAAAUAUCAAAUCUUCCAACAGAAAAUAAAUGUGAGAAAGUAACAAAUUAUGGGUAAAUGUUGAGAAUAGUGCAAAAGUGCCCCCUAUAAGUAUCUGAUACUAUCUCCAGGAAUAGUGCUUUGAAGUUUGAGUUCACUAAUUUUCUUUCUUUCUGACACUGAUAAUCUCGCUUUAGUUCUUACAUUUGUACUGCUUUCUACUGAACAGAAAUCUUAGCACUACUAACCUUGUUUCUUUGCUAAUAUAACAAAAAAAAUGUAACUUUCCUCUGUGCAGGGCUGUGUUGGACAUCUGGGUCAUACAAAUGGCAAACAAGAAGAUAAAAGAAAUAGAAUUCAGCCAUAAAUGAACUUAUCUUUUGAAAAAAAAUAAAACCAGUCUACAGCCAGAAUUUUAUUCAAACACCUUACUGCUUCAAAUUGUUCUCAGAAUCCAUCCCAAGUCUCCAGGCAUUGUAGCAGAGAGCCCUGCAGGGCUGAGACCCUGCUUCUGUCUCCAUCUUCUUAAGAUUUUUUACACUUUACAAUUUCCGUCCUAGAUCAAAAGAAUGCUUAUAUUUUCCCAAACCUUUUGUCCUAUUUCAUGCCUUUUUGCUCUUCAUCUUACUUGCCCAGAAACUCACUUUCCACUUUUUGAAAAAGAUCCUACUAGUGUGAUAAUCCCAUCGGAUAAGGGAUUUUCUCCUGCAGGCAGCCUUUGUUCAAUCCCAGAUUCAGACAGUAUUGCCCUCCUGUGUUCCCUUCAUGCAUGUAGCUGUCUUAGCACAAUUAAGUGAAUGUUCACCAGCAUUUCUGCUAAUGCCCUAUACUGAAGUUCCCCGAGGACCAGACUCAUUCCUUCUUCAUGUCUGUGCUCCCAAACUGUAGCUCAGGGGUCGGCCAACCAUGUUUAUAAAUGGCCAGAUAGCAUGUAUUUUAGGCUUUGUGGGCCCAGGUGACCUUUAUCGCUACCACUCAGCUCUGCUUUUGUAGCAUCGAAGCAGCAUAAGACAGUAAAACAAUGAAUGGGGCAGACCCUGGGACACACAAGUAAAGCUACUUCCUACCAUGCACAAACUAUAUCAGAGUGCCGAGUUCCAGUCCUGGAUACUUCGCUUCUGAUACAGCUUCCUGCUAAAGCGUCCUGGGUCCCUGCCCCACACGUAAGAGACCCUGAUGGAGUUCUGGGCUCCCAACUUCACCCUGGUUCAGCCCCAGUUGUUGCAGGCAUUUGGAGAGUGAAACAGCAGAUAGAAGAUCUCUCUCUAUCUCUCUCUAUCCCUUUGCCUUUUAAGUAGAUCAAAAAUAAAAAUUAGUAUAUAAAAAAUAAAUGACCACGGUUAUGUGUCAAUAAAACUUUAUUUUCAAUGGACAUCAAGUCACAUGAUUACUUAGCUUUUAGUUGUAAGUUUGUGACUCCUGUUUUAAUAAAAAUAUAAUGUCAAAUAAAUAUUUGUGGAGUAAGUGAUGAUUAAUUAAUCCAUUACUUGUUCUUGUGCUUAAACUCUAAAUAAGGGGCCAGCAUUGUGGCCCCCCAGUGACGUCAGCAUCUCACAUAACAACAGUUCAUGACCCAGCUGCUCCACUUCAGAUCCAGCUCCAUGCUAAUGACCUGGAAAAAGCAGCAGAAGAUGGCUCAAGUGUUUGGGCUCCCACCACCCAUGUGGGAGACUUGGAUGAAGCUUCUAGCUCCUGGCUUGUGCCUGGCCCAGCACUGGUCACUGCAGCCAUCUGGUCCAGUCCGUGAACCCAGUUACUGAUUGGCUGCCAUACUUAUUCUCUUCCAACAUGUGAUAGUUAAUCAAUCGUUUCUUGUUCUCUGCAAUGACCUUGGAAAUUAUGGAUGUUUCCAUUGAGACAAUUCAGCAAUAUUAUAUUUCUGGAGGGUAAACCCAAUUACCUACUUGAAUUACAUUAUGAAUAAGUAUAUUUGAAUUCCUGGAAAAAUAUAUGGAAAUUUUAUGCAGAAUUUAGGAACACCUAAGUGCCUAGCAUGGCACAGAACCACGGGGUUGUGUUUUGUGAAGAAAGUACUUGUAGCCCUCGACAUGUGCUCUGCCCACCCCCUUCACUGCCAUGUGUGAAUGGACAGUGAUAAUCGGGAAAGGCUGUGAGAAGCCAGUCCUCACUUACAUCUGAGGUUGCUGCCUUUCCAGAGUGAUUGUCUAGGAACCUCUGGCCUAUACAGAACCCAAAAGUGUGCAUUAUUGCUUAAUCCCGUGGCUCUGGUGGGUGUGAUGACACAGGCCUGGUAAUAUUCAGUUGAAUCUAAGACAUUAUCAACUGUACUUUGUUGGCUCCUAGAUAUCUUUGUGUUUGUACAAGAAAAAAAAAUCUGAAUUUUCUCAAGAUAAACAGUUGUUACAUGGAAACAGUUUGAUACUCUUGGGUCUUGCUUUCAAGAUUUGUUAAAUAAAAUCAGCACAUCAUUGAUUCUCCCUACUGAUUUAAGAUGCCUCAAGUAAUCUGCGUUGAAAUGUGAGCAUUCCAUUCUGGAUGGAAAUGGUGCAAAGAAAAUUUGUUAUUCACUUGUAAUUAAUAGAAAUGCUGGAACAUCAGUGUGUGACUUCAUAGAUAAAGUCACCAAAAGCAAUGAAGAUCCUACCUUCUUACUGGAAUAUUGGUUCUUGUGCACUCAGCUGUGAGAUAGUCUGUCCUGAUGCUUCAGUGCUGUGAGAAAGUCCAAACCAGCGCUUGAUUGAGAUCUACUUUGAGAAAUUAAGGCAUGGCAACUAUUCUUGAAGCAAAAGGAGGCAUCGUGUCCACUUUCCAAGGCCUGCUGCUCUACAGUCAUCCUUGAAAACAGCAGUCUGGAACAAAGCUGUUAAUGUCUCCACCUCAGAAGAUAACCAGGAAUGUAAGGGACCCAAUGGAGAAUUGUCUCCCAGAGAAACUCUUCCAAACUGCUGUCCCACGGAUACUGUGAGCAAUAUAAAACCAACGAAACAGCUUUAUGUCAUUAAUGUUUGGGGUGACUUUUAGGCUACAGUAAUAAAGACAGGUUACCUUAAGACAGAGUUCUUACCUGUGAUGAUAAAUAAUUAUAUGUUCAUCUAAAUAUUUUCUAUCUAGGCAAGAAUUGGGCCAACCAAUUAAGAGGCUAUUUCGAAUGCCUGCAACUUAUAUUAGAGUGCCUAGUUCCAAGCCCCAGUUGAGCUCUUUAUCCCAGUUUCCUGCUGAUGUCAACCCAAGGAAGCAGCAAGUGAUAGUUCAACUAUUUGGGUUCCUGCUACCCAUGUGGGAGACCAUGAUUAUGUUUUCAGCUCCUGUGUAUCACAGCCCUGUAUGUUGCAGACAUUCAGGGAGUGAAUCAGCAGAUGAGAUGUUUCUGUCUAUCUGCAAGGCUUCAUCUAAUUUCUCUUUCUACCUUUAAACUAAAUAUAUAAAAAUUUAAAAAUAGAAUAAAAACUAAGUUUAGCUAUCAAAAAAACAGAGGAACUGCAAGAAUAUAACAAGAGAGUUCACUUUUGAAAAGGAGGUAAAAUUAAAAUAACUUAAAACCUACUUCCUGCAUCUAUUGAAGUGACCAUAGACCAUAUGCUUUUCAUUCUUCAUUCUAUUGAAGUGGUUUAUGAUGCUUAUCUAUUUGUAAAUGUUGAACCACACUUGCAUUUCUGGGAUAAAUAGCUUAAUACCACUCGAUCAUGAUAUAUGUUUUUUUUUUUCUGUGAUUUUGGAUUUGAUUUGCUAGUAUUUUGUUGAGAAUCUUUGCAUCUAUGCUCAUUAAGGAUACAGAUCUGUACUUUUUUUUUCAACAUGUCUUAAUAAUGCUGGCCUCAUAAAGAGUUUGGCAGAAUUCCAUCCUGUUCAAUAUUUUGAAAUAAUUUGAAGAGUAUUGUAGUUACUUCCUCUCUGAAUGCUUUGUAGAAUUCAGUAGUAAAGCCAUCAGGUCCCAGAUUUUUCCUUGAUAGAAGACUUUUGAUUACUGCUUCAAUCUCAUUACUUGUAAUGGAUCUGUUUAGGUUGCAUAUGUCUUCUUGAUUUAAUCUUGGCAGGUUAUAUAAAUCAAGGAACUUAUCCAUUUCUUCAAGGUUUUCCAGUUUAUUAACAUGCAGCUCUUUAUAGUAGUUUCUUGUGAUCGUUUGUGUUUCAGUGGUAUCAGUUGUAAUGUCUCCUUUUUCAUCUUUAAUUUUAUUUAUGUGAGUUUUUCUCUCUUUUUUUCUUUGUUAGUCUGGAUAGAGAUGUAGCAUUUGAUAAGAUUCCAACUCCUUCACAAUAAAAAAAAAAUAUCUCCACAAGUUAGGUAGAAAAGGAAAUUCCUCAAACUUACAAAGGCUAUAUGUCACAAGCCAACAACCAAUAUUAUACAGAAUGGGAAAAGCUAGAAAUAUUUGCCCUCAGAUCUGAAAGAAAAUAAGGAUUCCACUUUGUCACACCUAUUCAAUAUAAUACUAGAAGUUUUAGCAAGAUCAAUUAGAGAGGAGAAAGAAAGAAAGGGCAUCAGAAUUAGAAAAGAGGAAGUCAAAUUAUCCAUGUUUGGAGAUCACAUGAUUUUGUAAAAGGAAAAAAAUAAAUAUCCCUCCAAAAACCUGUCAGAAUUGAUAAAGCAAUUCAGUAAAGUUGCAAGUUACAAGAUAAACAUAUAAAAAAUAGCAAUUUUUGUAUGCUAAUGAUGAACUCACAGAAUGAAAAAUUAAGAAAGAAAUCCCAUUUAUAAUAGCCUCAAAAAUAAAAUCAAAUAUGUAGGAAUAAAUUUAACCAAAGAAGUGACAGAUUUCUACAAUGACAAUCAAUUACCAAACAUUGAUGAAAGAAAUCAUAACAGACACAAAAAUGGAAAGAUAUUCCUUGUCUGUGGAUCAGAAGACCCAGUAUAAUUAAAAUGUCUAUACUACCUAAAGUAAUCUAUACAUUCAGAGCAAUGCCUAUCAAAAUACUAAUGACAUUCUUUACAGCAUUAGAAAAACUAAUCACAAAAGACCCCGAAUAACCAAAGAAAUCCUCAACAAGAAAAAUCAAGCAGAAGGCAUCAUGAUACAUGAGUUUAAAGCAUACUCAAAGCUAUAGUAAUUAAAACAGCAUGUUACUGUCAUAAAAACUGACACGUAGUUCAAUGGAACAGUACAAACAGCCCAGAAAUUAAUCCACAUGCAUACAUCUAGGUUUUGACAAAAGUGCUGACAUCAUACAGUGCAGUAAGGAUAAUCUCUUUAACAAAUGGUGCUCAUAAAACUGAAUGUAUAUAAGUAGAAAUUAGGUCCAUAUCUCUCACUAUAUACAAAAAUCAACUCAAGAUGGAUUGAAGGCCUAAAUUUAAGACCAGAGAUUCUGAAAUUUUUGGGAUAAACACAGGGGAAACACUCCAAGACAAUGAUGUAGGGUAUGACUUCUUGGACAAGACCCCCAAAGCAAGAAAAACUAAACAAAUGGGACUAUAUAAAGCUCAUAAGAUUUUACACAGCCAUAGGAAAUAAGACAUAGAGUGAAGAGACAUCCAACAGAUUGGGGGGAAAAAAAGCUUGUGAACCAAUUAUCUAAGAAUCAAUAUCCUGAAUAUCAACAACUUAAAAAACUCAAAAAAUCAAUCAAUUCAGUUAAGUAAAUGAUCAAAAGACUUCAGUAGAUAGUUCUCAAAUCAAGAAACACAAUGAUCAACCAAUAUUUGAAAAAUGUUCAACAACACUAGCCAUCAGGGAAAUGCAAAUCAAAACCACAAUAAAAUAUCACCUCACCUCUGUCAGAGUGGCUAAAAUGCAAAACGGAGAGAGUAACCAAUGCUGGUGAGGAUGUGGAGAAAAGGAAACACUUAGACACUGUUGGUAGGAAUGUAACUUGGUGCAGCCACUGAGGAAACAGUGUGAUUUCUUAAAAUAAUAAAAAAAAAAAACCUAGAAAUAGACUUUCUAUAUGAUCCAGCAAUUCCACUACUGGGAAUAUACCCACAGGACCUGAACACAAUGUAUCAAAAUGGUACAUGCACCACCAUGUUUAUAGAAGUACUGCUCACAAUAUCCAGAAUUUGAGAUCAACCAAGGUGUCCAUCAUCAAAUGAAAGAAUAAAGAAAAUGUGGUAUAUAUACAGUGGAAUAGUAUUCAGCUUUAAAAAAGAAAUUCUACCAUAAUUUGCAGCCAAAUGGAUGAAAUUGGAAGACCUGAUGCUGAGUGAAGUAAACCAGACCCAAAAAGACAAAUACCACGUUUUCCUUUUUAGUGGGAGCUGAAAUUUAAAAAACAAAAAAAGUGAAAGAAAUAAAUAUAUGUCUGUGUAUAUCAGUAUUGCUAUAAAUAUCAUUUUGUAAAACUUUGUUUCCUUUGUGAAACCAAUUUUUUAAGAAUGUUAUACUACUAGGCCAGCGCCGCGGCUCACUAGGCUAAUCCUCCGCCUUGCGGCGCCGGCAUACCGGGUUCUAGUCCCGGUCAGGGCGCCGGAUUCUGUCCCGGUUGCUCCUCUUCCAGGCCAGCUCUCUGCUGUGGCCAGGGAGUGCAGUGGAGGAUGGCCCAAGUGCUUGGGCCCUGCACCUGCAUGGGAGACCAGGAGAAGCACCUGGCUCCUGCCAUCGGAUCAGCGCGGUGCGCCAGCCAUGGCAGCCAUUGGAGGGUGAACCAACGGCAAAGGAAGACCUUCCUCUCUGUCUCUCUCUCUCACUGUCCACUCUGCCUGUCAAAAAAAAAAAAAAAAAAAAAAGAAUGUUAUACUACUAUAUUUUGAAUGAUCCGUGGUUACUUUAAAAUUUAAUGUAUGUGGGUUAUGUGGCCAUUUUUCCAUUCAAUUAUUGUUUAUAGCAAUUGUCCAUAUUUCCAUUAAACUAGGAUCGUUCUGCUUUUUUAUUUAUUAAACUUCUAUAUUAUGAAGUAUUAAGCCAUUUUACUGUAAUAUAAAUGUAAAAUAUGUUAUCUCAAAAACUAAAAAAAGAUAGAAAGGAAGGGAGGAAGAGGACAAGGGAAGGAGGAAUGGAGGGAUGGAGAAAUGAAAUAUCAUUAUGUUCUUAGACUUGCAUUAUAAAUCACAUUGAAUCUGUUAAAAACUAAUUAAAAAUUAAAAUAAAAUUAAAAAAAUUCAAAUAUCAGGACAUUUCCAAUGUAAACUACGGUGCAGAAAUCUAAGGCAAUAGAACUCCAUUCAAGCAUGGUUGCUGCAGCAAAUUAUCACUGAAUUGACAGGUUAAAAAAAGCAUGAAUUUAUUGUAUUACUCUUGUGGAGGCAUAAAUCCGAAUCAGUGUUGACAGGGAGAAAUCAAAGUGUUGGCAGGAUCAGUUUUGCUCCAAAUGCUUUAGCGAUUUCUUGCCUCUUCCAACUUCCAGUGACUGCUGGCGUUCCUUGACUGGUAGCCAUAUCAUCCCAAUUUCUACCUCUCUGCUGGUAACCUCCUUUUCUUUCCUAAAUAAUAUUUCUUUACUGCCCUCUUAUAAUGAGUGCCUAUGACUGCAUGUAGGGUGCUCUUGUUUAAUCCAGGAUAGUGUCUGUAUUUCAAGAGCCUUAACUUAGGUGGUGGAAGGAAGAUGGAGGCUGUGUAAGAAGUUCCAGCAGCCAUCUCUUCAUCCACAUGAGCAGCUAGGCUCCCACCAUGUCACCUACCAAAGAGCUGUGGAAGUCAAGGGUGAGACCACAGUACCUCAUCGUGCCAUGAUCAUUAGGAAAGCUACACUGAAAAAAGCAAGAAAAUACUUGCCUGUGUUACUUAUCUCCCUGUUUGAAGGAGGCCUCCCUUUCGAAAGACAGAGAAUGAACUGAAUCCCAGUGCUAAGACCACUGUGGAAAAUUACAGUCAUGCUGAGCCCAUGUGCUCCUGCCCACUGUGCAGCCCACUCCAGUAGCAGGAUAUACUACCCGGCAUUUAUAAAAGCAAAGAUACAUAUGAAACCAAAUCCCAAAAUUAAUUCUCCAAUAUGCAUUUCACGAAGAAUCAGGGAGUUUCAGGGACACAUGGCCUCACUUAAUGAACAAAAGAAGGUGCCAUAAACAAGCUCUAUAGAAAUUAAAGUACUCAAAAGCUCAGAUGAACAUGUCAAAAUAGCUGUUUUAAGGAAACUAAAUGAUAUUCAAGAGAACACGAAAAAAUAUUUCAAUAUACUAACAGAGACGUUCUACAGAGAGAUGGAAAUCCUUCAACUGAAAAAUACAAUAGGUGAAAUUUAAAAUGUAAUAGAAGGCAUCAAUAGCAAAACAGAUCCAACAGAAGAAAGAAUGUGUGCUUAAAAAUAGGCUACUUGAAAAUAAUACACAGUUAAAGGAUGGGAAAAAAGGAACCAAGUGGAGUGAAGAACGCCUACAGAAAAUAUAGGGUAGCAUGAAGAAAGGAAACAUUUCAGUUAUUGUGGCUCAAGAGGGACUUGAAAAUGUUAAAAAGAGUAGAAAACAUAUUCAAUAGAUGAUGACAGGAAGCUUCCCAAACCUAGAGAAAGACCGAAGCACCCUGGUAUCAGAAAAUCCAGGGUCACUAGUCAGAUUCAACUCCAAUCUAUGUGCAUAUUAUGAUCAAGCUAUGUAAAGCUCUGAGACGUAUUAUAAUCAAACUUUCCAAGAUUAAAAAUAAGAAGCAAAUACUAGGAGCUACAAAAGAGAUGAAGCAGGUAACAUGUAAAGAGGCUGAAAUUUGCUUGACUGCAGAAUUCUCAGCAGAAAGUUUAUAGAUCAGUAGGGUUUAGGAUGAGACUAUCAUAGCACUAGAGGGAAAAAUUCUGAGUCAAUAAUACUGUACAUAACAAAGCUAUCUUUCAGAUUUAAGGAGAAGAUGAAGAUAGUCCCAGAGAAACAAAAGUUGAGCGAAAUUAUCACCACUGGACAGUGAAGUUAGUUCCUGAAACUGAACGAAAUGCUAACAAGAAGAAAGUAUCAGAAGAUAGAACACUAUGAUGAAUAACUAUAGCAACAAGUUCAGAAUCAUUUAAAUGUUUGCUGUGAAGACUUUAAAAAUCAUAAUUGCUACACUAAAAUGUUAAGUGAUGAGAAAUAUUGAAAAAGGUCAAACGUAACCUCAAAAAUUCAAUAGCACAUGGAAAAUUUCCCAGGAUAAAUCAAAUGGCAGGUCAAAACAAGUAUAAAUAACUUUAAAAGAAUAGAAAUCAUAUUGAAUGAUUUUCUGACCAUAUGCAACCAAAUUAUCAAUCAACAAGAGAAACAUUGUAAACUACACAAAUGCAUAAAGAUUAUAUAAUGUACUCAAGAAUAACCAGAGGACCAGGAAGAAAUGAAAAGAGAUAUUAAAAUAUUUUUGAAUGAAAAGAAACACCAAAUACAAAAACAAUUUAAGAUACAGCAAAAGCGUAUUGAGGGAAAUUUAUGAUAAUCAAUGCCUGCAUCAAGAAAACAGAAAAUCCAUACUUA